rnacentral:tRNA from 1 species
GUGACUAGCUCAGCUGGGAGAGCAUCUGCCUUACAAGCAGAGGGUCGGCGGUUCGAUCCCGUCAUCACCCACCA